rnacentral:rRNA from 1 species
UACGGAAGGUCCGGGCGUUAUCCGGAUUUAUUGGGUUUAAAGGGAGCGCAGACUGGCGAUUAAGCGUGACGUGAAAUGUCCCGGCUCAACCGGGGAGUUGCGUCGCGAACUGGUUGCCUUGAGUGGGGACGAGGAAGGCGGAAUUCGUGGUGCAGCGGUGAAAUGCUUAGAUAUCACGAAGAACCCCGAUUGCGAAGGCAGCCUUCCAGGCCUUUACUGACGCUAAAGCUCGAAGGUGCGGGUAUCGAAC